rnacentral:rRNA from 1 species
UACGAAGGGGGCUAGCGUUGUUCGGAAUCACUGGGCGUAAAGCGCACGUAGGCGGAUCUUUAAGUCAGGGGUGAAAUCCCGGGGCUCAACCUCGGAACUGCCCUUGAUACUGGGGAUCUCGAGUCCGGAAGAGGUUGGUGGAACUCCGAGUGUAGAGGUGAAAUUCGUAGAUAUUCGGAAGAACACCAGUGGCGAAGGCGGCCAACUGGGCCGGCACUGACGCUGAGGUGCGAAAGCGUGGGGAGCAAACAGG